UACGUAGGGGGCAAGCGUUAUCCGGAUUUACUGGGUGUAAAGGGAGCGUAGACGGCGAUGCAAGUCUGAAGUGAAAGGCGGGGGCCCAACCCCCGGACUGCUUUGGAAACUGUAUGGCUGGAGUGCAGGAGAGGUAAGUGGAAUGCCUAGUGUAGCGGUGAAAUGCGUAGAUAUUGGGAGGAACAUCAGUGGCGAAGGCGGCCAACUGGGCUUUUACUGACGCUGAAGCACGAAAGCGUGGGUAUCGAACAGG
rnacentral:rRNA from 1 species